rnacentral:sRNA from 1 species
GGAGAACCACCCUGAUGUUCACAGUGGGGUGGGCGGUAAGCAAGAGUCAAGCUGGCUUCUCCGGGGAAGCGGGUGCCUAUUUGAGGGCGAGUAAAGAGGUAGGAGACCGAAGGAAGUGUGUGGGAGGGGUUGACCUGCCCCUUGUCCUGGCUCCGCCACUGCCCACUUCAGCUUCUGCCGGACCCUCCUGGAGCACACGGUGUCAGCUGAGAGCAUCCCCUGCCACUUGCCUCGGACACCUGGCACCAGCCUCACGUGGCAUGACUCCCGCAGCCAGAGGGCGGCCAGCAGCAGGCCAAUCAAGCUCCUGCAGCAGCCUGGCACAGAGACCCCCCAGGGCCGGCUGUACUCUGACCACUAUGGCCUGUACCAUACAAGCCCCUCGCUGGGUGGCCUGACCCGGCCCGUGGUCCUGUGGAGUCAGCAGGACGUCUGCAAGUGGCUCAAGAAGCACUGUCCCCACAACUACCUCGUCUACGUGGAGGCCUUCUCCCAGCAUGCCAUCACUGGCCGGGCACUGCUGCGGCUGAAUGCAGAGAAGCUGCAGCGGAUGGGGCUGGCCCAGGAGGCCCAGAGGCAGGAGGUGCUGCAGCAGGUGCUCCGCCUGCAGGUGCGUGAGGAGGGGCGGAGCCUGCAGCUGCUCAGCCAAGCUUCCUUUGGGAAAAUGUCCUAGCUGCUGCUGAGGCUUGAACCCAGACCCCAGCACUGUGACGGGAGUCCACGGCUAGGGAGGAGGCCGAGCUGGCCCCACAGCACCUCUUGGACCCUGCAGGAUGCCGGGGCGGCCAGGCUGGCCCAACGGACAGACAGGACCAGGAUCACA